GGCGUCGAGUGGCGGACGGGUGAGUAACGCGUAGGAAUCUGCCCAUAAGCGGGGGAUAGCCCGAAGAAAUUCGGAUUAAUACCGCAUAAUAUCUACGGAUUAAAGAAGGCCUCUGUUUCAUGCUUUCGUUUAUGGAUGAGCCUGCGUUGGAUUAGCUUGUUGGUGGGGUAAAAGCCUACCAAGGCAACGAUCCAUAGCUGGUCUGAGAGGACGAUCAGCCACACUGGGACUGAGAUACGGCCCAGACUCC
rnacentral:rRNA from 1 species